GAUCCUGGCUCAGGAUGAACGCUAGCUACAGGCUUAACACAUGCAAGUCGAGGGGCAGCAUGAACUUAGCUUGCUAAGUUUGAUGGCGACCGGCGCACGGGUGAGUAACACGUAUCCAACCUUCCCGUUACUCUGGGAUAGCCUUUCGAAAGAAAGAUUAAUACCGGAUAGUAUCGAGAGAUUGCAUGAUAACCCGAUUAAAGAUUUAUCGGUAACGGAUGGGGAUGCGUUCCAUUAGAUAGUAGGG
rnacentral:rRNA from 1 species